rnacentral:rRNA from 1 species
GAUGAACGCUGGCGGCGUGCUUAACACAUGCAAGUCGAACGGGAAAUAUUUCAUUGAGACUUCGGUGGAUUUGAUUUAUUUCUAGUGGCGGACGGGUGAGUAACGCGUGGGUAACCUGCCUCAUACAGGGGGAUAACAGUCAGAAAUGGCUGCUAAUACCGCAUAAGCGCACAGAGCUGCAUGGCUCAGUGUGAAAAACUCCGGUGGUAUAAGAUGGACCCGCGUUGGAUUAGCUAGUUGGUGGGGUAACGGCCCACCAAGGCGACGAUCCAUAGCCGGCCUGAGAGGGUGAACGGCCACAUUGGGACUGAGACACGGCCCAGACUCCUACGGGAGGCAGCAGUGGGGAAUAUUGCACAAUGGGGGAAACCCUGAUGCAGCGACGCCGCGUGAAGGAAGAAGUAUCUCGGUAUGUAAACUUCUAUCAGCAGGGAAGAUAGUGACGGUACCUGACUAAGAAGCCCCGGCUAACUACGUG